UAUCCAGACUCCUACGGGAGGCAGCAGUGGGGAAUAUUGGGCAAUGGAGGCAACUCUGACCCAGCAACGCCGCGUGAAUGAUGAAGGUCUUCGGAUUGUAAAGUUCUUUUCUAAGGGAAGAAGAAAGUGACGGUACCUUAGGAAUAAGCCUCGGCUAACUACGUGCCAGCAGCCGCGGUAAUACGUAGGGGGCAAGCGUUAUCCGGAUUUACUGGGUGUAAAGGGAGCGUAGACGGCAUGGCAAGUCAGAUGUGAAAGCCCGGGGCUCAACCCCGGGACUGCAUUUGAAACUGUCAGGCUGGAGUGCAGGAGAGGUAAGUGGAAUUCCUAGUGUAGCGGUGAAAUGCGUAGAUAUUAGGAGGAACACCAGUGGCGAAGGCGGCUUACUGGACUGUAACUGACGUUGAGGCUCGAAAGCGUGGGGAGCAAACAGGAUUAGAUACCCUCGUAC
rnacentral:rRNA from 1 species